GCCCGAGGCCAUCAGGCUAAGGGCACGCCUGCCUGGGCGUUGCGUGCUGCAUCUCUCCCAUUGCUAAGGUUGAACGGGCAUACUGUUCGGCCGGCGCGGACGAGAGUUUGGCCCCUUGUUCUUCGGUGCGAUGGGUCCAAGACCUGGGCUUUUGACGGUCCAAAAUCCGGCA
rnacentral:rRNA from 1 species